rnacentral:rRNA from 1 species
GUACACAAAAAUGCACAUAUUGUGAGCUCGAUGAGUAGGGCGGGACACGUGGUAUCCUGUCUGAAUAUGGGGGGACCAUCCUCCAAGGCUAAAUACUCCUGACUGACCGAUAGUGAACCAGUACCGUGAGGGAAAGGCGAAAAGAACCCCGGCGAGGGGAGUGAAAAAGAACCUGAAACCGUGUACGUACAAGCAGUGGGAGCCUCUUUAUGGGGUGACUGCGUACCUUUUGUAUAAUGGGUCAGCGACUUAUAUUCUGUAGCAAGGUUAACCGAAUAGGGGAGCCGAAGGGAAACCGAGUCUUAACUGGGCGUUAAGUUGCAGGGUAUAGACCCGAAACCCGGUGAUCUAGCCAUGGGCAGGUUGAAGGUUGGGUAACACUAACUGGAGGACCGAACCGACUAAUGUUGAAAAAUUAGCGGAUGACUUGUGGCUGGGGGUGAAAGGCCAAUCAAACCGGGAGAUAGCUGGUUCUCCCCGAAAGCUAUUUAGGUAGCGCCUCGUGAAUUCAUCUCCGGGGGUAGAGCACUGUUUCGGCAAGGGGGUCAUCCCGACUUACCAACCCGAUGCAAACUGCGAAUACCGGAGAAUGUUAUCACGGGAGACACACGGCGGGUGCUAACGUCCGUCGUGAAGAGGGAAACAACCCAGACCGCCAGCUAAGGUCCCAAAGUCAUGGUUAAGUGGGAAACGAUGUGGGAAGGCCCAGACAGCCAGGAUGUUGGCUUAGAAGCAGCCAUCAUUUAAAGAAAGCGUAAUAGCUCACUGGUCGAGUCGGCCUGCGCGGAAGAUGUAACGGGGCUAAACCAUGCACCGAAGCUGCGGCAGCGACACUAUGUGUUGUUGGGUAGGGGAGCGUUCUGUAAGCCUGUGAAGGUGGCCUGUGAGGGUUGCUGGAGGUAUCAGAAGUGCGAAUGCUGACAUAAGUAACGAUAAAGCGGGUGAAAAGCCCGCUCGCCGGAAGACCAAGGGUUCCUGUCCAACGUUAAUCGGGGCAGGGUGAGUCGACCCCUAAGGCGAGGCCGAAAGGCGUAGUCGAUGGGAAACAGGUUAAUAUUCCUGUACUUGGUGUUACUGCGAAGGGGGGACGGAGAAGGCUAUGUUGGCCGGGCGACGGUUGUCCCGGUUUAAGCGUGUAGGCUGGUUUUCCAGGCAAAUCCGGAAAACCAAGGCUGAGGCGUGAUGACGAGGCACUACGGUGCUGAAGCGACAAAUGCCCUGCUUCCAGGAAAAGCCUCUAAGCAUCAGGUAACAUCAAAUCGUACCCCAAACCGACACAGGUGGUCAGGUAGAGAAUACCAAGGCGCUUGAGAGAACUCGGGUGAAGGAACUAGGCAAAAUGGUGCCGUAACUUCGGGAGAAGGCACGCUGAUAUGUAGGUGAAGCGACUUGCUCGUGGAGCUGAAAUCAGUCGAAGAUACCAGCUGGCUGCAACUGUUUAUUAAAAACACAGCACUGUGCAAACACGAAAGUGGACGUAUACGGUGUGACGCCUGCCCGGUGCCGGAAGGUUAAUUGAUGGGGUUAGCGGUAACGCGAAGCUCUUGAUCGAAGCCCCGGUAAACGGCGGCCGUAACUAUAACGGUCCUAAGGUAGCGAAAUUCCUUGUCGGGUAAGUUCCGACCUGCACGAAUGGCGUAAUGAUGGCCAGGCUGUCUCCACCCGAGACUCAGUGAAAUUGAACUCGCUGUGAAGAUGCAGUGUACCCGCGGCAAGACGGAAAGACCCCGUGAACCUUUACUAUAGCUUGACACUGAACAUUGAGCCUUGAUGUGUAGGAUAGGUGGGAGGCUUUGAAGUGUGGACGCCAGUCUGCAUGGAGCCGACCUUGAAAUACCACCCUUUAAUGUUUGAUGUUCUAACGUUGGCCCGUAAUCCGGGUUGCGGACAGUGUCUGGUGGGUAGUUUGACUGGGGCGGUCUCCUCCUAAAGAGUAACGGAGGAGCACGAAGGUUGGCUAAUCCUGGUCGGACAUCAGGAGGUUAGUGCAAUGGCAUAAGCCAGCUUGACUGCGAGCGUGACGGCGCGAGCAGGUGCGAAAGCAGGUCAUAGUGAUCCGGUGGUUCUGAAUGGAAGGGCCAUCGCUCAACGGAUAAAAGGUACUCCGGGGAUAACAGGCUGAUACCGCCCAAGAGUUCAUAUCGACGGCGGUGUUUGGCACCUCGAUGUCGGCUCAUCACAUCCUGGGGCUGAAGUAGGUCCCAAGGGUAUGGCUGUUCGCCAUUUAAAGUGGUACGCGAGCUGGGUUUAGAACGUCGUGAGACAGUUCGGUCCCUAUCUGCCGUGGGCGCUGGAGAACUGAGGGGGGCUGCUCCUAGUACGAGAGGACCGGAGUGGACGCAUCACUGGUGUUCGGGUUGUCAUGCCAAUGGCACUGCCCGGUAGCUAAAUGCGGAAGAGAUAAGUGCUGAAAGCAUCUAAGCACGAAACUUGCCCCGAGAUGAGUUCUCCCUGACUCCUUGAGAGUCCUGAAGGAACGUUGAAGACGACGACGUUGAUAGGCCGGGUGUGUAAGCGCAGCGAUGCGUUGAGCUAACCGGUACUAAUGAACCGUGAGGCUUAACCUUACAACGCCGAAG